rnacentral:rRNA from 1 species
UACGGGGGGGGGCAAGCGUUGUCCGGAAUCAUUGGGCGUAAAGAGCGUGUAGGCGGUCCGGUAAGUCAGCUGUGAAAGUCAAGGGCUCAACCCUUGAAAGCCGGUUGAUACUGUCGGGCUAGAGUCCGGGAGAGGUGAGUGGAAUUCCUAGUGUAGAGGUGAAAUUCGUAGAUAUUAGGAAGAACACCAGUGGCGAAGGCGGCUCACUGGCCCGGUACUGACGCUGAGGCGCGAAAGCGUGGGGAGCAAACAGG